GACAGAGAAGCCUAUUAGGAAAUCAGAAUGCUGUUUUCAGGCAAACUGAACCCCAGAGUUUAUAAUGGUUAAGUUCUAAAGGCAAGUGUCCAAGCAUAUUACUGAAGAAUUUCUUUGCUUAAAUGGCAGCAAUCUUCCUUUAUGACAGAGAGCUGGAAGAGCAGAGCAGCUGUCAGUCUGAGAUGCAAUCAGUCUCCUACAACAUAUGCUUCAUGACAUGCAGAGAGCGGGACAGAAAAUAAACAUCAUGGAGAUUUUCCUGGCUGAGAGAACAUGCUAUACAGAAAAACAGACCGGCUAAGUAGAUUUAUUUCAACAGCUAGUGAAGCUAAAAUUUUUCACAAAACUCCAUUUCAAGCUCCAUACUCGAAAUAAUUUCAAUGGCUUUUCAGCCUGAUACUAACAAAGAGAUGCAAGAGAUUGCCAAAGAUCCUAAGCCUGCCCUAAUCAGCACAGAUGAUGGGUGAUUUCGGAGACAAAACUCUUUUGGGAGUGACCAUGUCAGUGUGCUGCUGUUGUGAAUCAUCUUUAAAACCUUCUCCACUGAGUGUGAAGGACAUCCCCUCAAUAAAGGGGUUUGGUGAUUUGCUUAAGUCAACCCUGCUGUGUUCAGCAGGUAUGUACUGAAGAGAAAAUCUGCUGGAUUUCAAGAUACUGCCAUUAAAGCUCCCAGACCAACUCAUGGGAAAGCUUGUCUAGCUUUCCCUCUCUCCGACCAGACUGUCACAUCCACAUCCACACUUGUGGCUCUGAAGGCCCUGGAGAGACGCUGACCCCCAAAGCAGAGGAGCCAGCUCCAGGGUGUGAUCUGGCAGCCUCUCUUUCUUCCAGCCAGGUGGCUUUGUGCUAGGCUGUGAUGAGAGAAGUCCAGCAGCUUUACCCCUGGGAUACAGCCCACUGGAGCUGAGAAAAUAGAGCUGGCUUGAGUGGCAUUCAGGAGCUCUGAACUGAGCACAGCAGAGACCCAGCAUGACUGGAAUUUCCAAGCCCCACUGCAAGGGUAACUGCUCUAAAGUAGCAAAAAUCUUGUGCAAUAUUCUUGGUAGCCUUCUGUGAGCACUGUGCUGUUAUUUUCAAUGCAAAAAUCCUCCUUUUAAUAUCUGAGGAUUCCUUCCUUUCUGUCUUUUGUUUGUGGGUUUUUUUGGUUUGGUUUUUUUAAUUGUUGUUUUUUGGUUUGAUUUUUUAAAUAGUUGUUUUUUGGUUUGAUUUUUUUUUUAAUUGUUGUUUUUUGAUUUUGGGGGGUUCUUUUGGUUGUUCUGUGUGUUUGUGUUUUUUUUGGCUAGUUGGGGCUUUUGUUUUGUUUUGUUUGAGGUUCUUUGGGGGAGUCUUAUUAUGUUUUGUUUAGGUUUUUGUUUCUUUUUGUUGGGUUGUUUUGGUUUUGGGGAUUUUUUGAUGUUGUUUUUGACAGGUAGCCCCAACCUGUGAGAUGAGUCUCACUGGUGAACCUCAUUAAGAAGAGUUUUAUUAGUAAAAAAAAAAAAAUCACAUAAAACCCAUUCUUUUCCUCCUAGGGUCUUGAGAGAAAAUGCAGUGGAAUGGGAAUAGGUAGAAUUUGCUUGUCAAACUAUUCAAGAGCACCAUAUAGUUGUAAAUAAAGCAUUAGGUAUUUAUUAGAAAUGUGGAUUCAAUUUCUAGAGAGUAAAAAAGCCAACAAAAACCAUGCCACAGAAACCUAACCAUAUUUUUGUGAAUUCCAGCUAGAGGAAAACUAAUUGUGUUUGUUUUUAUAGAUUAUAUAAAAAAAUUACAGGGAGAGGAAGUAACAAGUUGUACAAUGAAUGAAAUAAUUCCAUUUUAGAAAGGGAUUCUUUUUAAAUCUAUGAAUGAAAAAACACUUUAUAUUUUUUUUUGUUGAAAUAUUAUAAUAAUAAUUUUGAGGCUUUUUGAUUCAAGAGGUAUUUUGUGGUCUGGAUUACUAAAGGAUAGAAGGUGUAAUGAAGUGAUGGUGGAAUAAGAAAUGUUAGUUUAGACUCCAGAUUGUCGUUGUUUGUUUUCUUGUUUUACCCUCAAGAAGAAGCUUAAAUAUUUAAUUCUGUAGCAUUUCUAAUUUUAUACAAAGUUCAUAAUAAAGCAUAAGGCAACUUUGCCCUAGUUUAUUGGCAUUGGCAUUUUUAAUUAAAUGUUUUGUUUUUUCAUUGCAAACUAAAAUUUAAACCAAAAAUCAGCAGCAGGAGAUUUUAACUGCACAAAAUUCUUUUUGAGCUGGAGACAAAAGCUCUCAUUGGUGUCUCCAAAGAUAGGUUAUGUCUUUCUCUUUUAUCUAAAGCCUGGUUGAAUUUGUUGAGUUUUGCUAGCUGAGUUUGUGGUUUGGUUCAAAUAUUUUUAUGAAUGCCUGAGGGUCCCUGAAAAUGCUCUUUUUGCAGAAUAUGAACUUGAAAACAAAGCUGCAAACAGAGUGGCAGCAUGUCUUUGACUUCCCUUCAUACCUGUACACAGAGUCAUUUCCACAUGCCUAUGGUCAUUACAUCUCCUUUAUUUACAUUUGAUUACAUGUGAAGCACAUUCAUUAAAAAGCUUGCUAGACUGAAUUUUGAAGCUGGCUUGAUGCUGCCUGUUAAACCCAUUAUUUGGUGAAUCCAGAGUAUAGAAUGCGUAGAAUAUAGACAUCAUGGAAUUAAAUUCUUGCUCUUUGUUUAACUUGGGACUCCUGCUUUACUAAAAACUUAGCUGUGAAAAUUCUAACUAGGUGAAGUAAUUCAGGCAAACAAAGCCCAAGACAGAUUCAAUAACUUGGAAGCAAUAUACUUUUUCGUGAGAACUCUAGGAACUCAAGUGGGAAAUUCUGACUCAUUCUGCAGAAACUUGAGUCCAAGUCUUACCACAUUCCUAACCUAACUCUGCAGAUUCACCAGUUCAGCUGCAUUUCACAUAGGCAGCUGAAUGCCUAGGCAUUUCUUUGGAAUUGUUUUUUUUUUAUUAUUAUUGAAUGUGAUAUAAGCUGAGAGCUUAUUUGUUUGAGCCUGGACUUUACUGAAUUUGAUCGUUGCCCUCCCGGUUUUUUAAUUCUUGAUUUUCAAAAAACCUUCAUCCUGGUCAUGAACUCUGUGGUUUAAAUGCAAAUUGUUUGCAUCAUUAUUUCUAGAUGAAUGAUUCACUAGUUGAAAAGUAACAGAGGGGAAAGAAAAAAAACCAACAAUAAAAAUGACAACCAAGCUUAAGGGAUUUCAACAGAAAAGCAAUAACCUGGAUCCCUCUAGAGGCCGUUUGUGUAAUAUUUGGUAGGGAAAAAAAGAUUUGAACUUGUCUCCCAAUUCACUGUCUACAAAUAAAGGAAGCUUAUCUAUCUCAUGUUGUUGCUUAUUAUCUUGCCAGAAUGCUUCUGUCUGGUGGUGAAAGAUGCAUAAUUAUUGUACUUUCUCUCCUUCAAGAAACUUGUUCUUCCUUAUAACUGAGCAAUGCAGCAGGAGCUUCUGCAUGCACUGAUUCAGUCUUAACUCCUAAAGGCAUCUUUCCUUGAAAACUAUUUUUAGAAAGCAAGUGAUGUCAGAAGCCAGUUGAGGUACCAAAAAUUUAGGUUUCCAUUUGUGGUAGUAUUGCCAAGGAGUUAAUUAAACAGACCAAACAACAGAGAUACUACUCUUUUCCCACCUGUGUGCAUUGAUUCUGAUCUCUGGCAUAGUGAGAAUGCCCCUUUGUGUGAAAAGUCAAAUCCUGAAUCCUGAAAGAGACAAGACAGGCCAUGAUGAUGGUGGAGACCUGCAGGCAAUCAGCAGAAGAGGGGGUGGUUUCCUUGGAAAGGAGCAGUGCUCAGCACAGCAGGGUGAGGAACAGAACUCGCUGAACCCUUCCCACUGCUUCUGGUGUACAAUAAUUUCUCUACAUUAAAUGCUUCCUGACACUGAGAGCACUGCUAUUCCAGUGUCUCAUUCAGGAUAAUCUGCUUAUGUGUGCAUGGAGUUAAAGGAUAGAGAUUCCACAGGUGUAUCAGCAGUCCCUGUGGUGCAGCAGACUGCGAAAAAAGUGAGUGAAGCAUUGGCAAUGUGUCACAAUCUGUCCCCCACUGAUUGAUUGAAAAA